rnacentral:rRNA from 1 species
GACGAACGCUGGCGGCGUGCCUAAUACAUGCAAGUAGAACGCUGAAAUAAGAGCUUGCUCUUAUGGAUGAGUUGCGAACGGGUGAGUAACACGUGGGGAACCUACCUUCUAGCGGGGGAUAACACAUAGAAAUGUGUGCUAAUACCGCAUAACAAUGAUUGAUGCAUAUCGAUUAUUUGAAAGGCGCAAUUGCGUCACUAGAAGAUGGCCCCGCGGUGCAUUAGCUAGUUGGUGAGGUAACGGCUCACCAAGGCAAUGAUGCAUAGCCGACCUGAGAGGGUGAUCGGCCACACUGGGACUGAGACACGGCCCAGACUCCUACGGGAGGCAGCAGUAGGGAAUCUUCGGCAAUGGACGCAAGUCUGACCGAGCAACGCCGCGUGAGUGAAGAAGGUUUUCGGAUCGUAAAACUCUGUUGUUAGAGAAGAACAAGUAGGAGAGUAACUGCUCUUACCUUGACGGUAUCUAACCAGAAAGCCACGGCUAACUACGUGCCAGCAGCCGCCGUAACAC